CAUGCAGGUCGAGGGGCAGCAUUUUAGUUUGCUUGCAAACUAAAGAUGGCGACCGGCGCACGGGUGAGUAACACGCUAUCCAACCUGCCGAUAACUCGGGGAUAGCCUUUCGAAAGAAAGAUUAAUAUCCGAUAGUAUAUUAAAACCGCAUGGUUUUACUAUUAAAGAAUUUCGGUUAUCGAUGGGGAUGCGUUCCAUUAGUUUGUUGGCGGGGUAACGGCCCACCAAGACUACGAUGGAUAGGGGUUCUGAGAGGAAGGUCCCCCACAUUGGAACUGAGACACGGUCCAAACUCAUACGGGAGGCAGCAGUGAGGAAUAUUGGUCAAUGGACGAGAGUCUGAACCAGCCAAGUAGCGUGAAGGAUGACUGCCCUAUGGGUUGUAAACUUCUUUUAUAUGGGAAUAAAAGUAUUCCACGUGUGGGAUUUUGUAUGUACCAUAUGAAUAAGGAUCGGCUAACUCCGUGCCAGCAGCCGCGGUAAUACGGAGGAUCCGAGCGUUAUCCGGAUUUAUUGGGUUUAAAGGGAGCGUAGGUGGAUUGUUAAGUCAGUUGUGAAAGUUUGCGGCUCAACCGUAAAAUUGCAGUUGAAACUGGCAGUCUUGAGUACAGUAGAGGUGGGCGGAAUUCGUGGUGUAGCGGUGAAAUGCUUAGAUAUCACGAAGAACUCCGAUUGCGAAGGCAGCUCACUAGACUGCAACUGACACUGAUGCUCGAAAGUGUGGGUAUCAAACAGGAUUAGAUACCCUGGUAGUCCACACAGUAAACGAUGAAUACUCGCUGUUUGCGAUAUACAGUAAGCGGCCAAGCGAAAGCAUUAAGUAUUCCACCUGGGGAGUACGCCGGCAACGGUGAAACUCAAAGGAAUUGACGGGGGCCCGCACAAGCGGAGGAACAUGUGGUUUAAUUCGAUGAUACGCGAGGAACCUUACCCGGGCUUAAAUUGCAUUUGAAUAAUCUGGAAACAGGUUAGCCGCAAGGCAAAUGUGAAGGUGCUGCAUGGUUGUCGUCAGCUCGUGCCGUGAGGUGUCGGCUUAAGUGCCAUAACGAGCGCAACCCUUAUCUUUAGUUACUAACAGGUCAUGCUGAGGACUCUAGAGAGACUGCCGUCGUAAGAUGUGAGGAAGGUGGGGAUGACGUCAAAUCAGCACGGCCCUUACGUCCGGGGCUACACACGUGUUACAAUGGGGGGUACAGAAGGCAGCUACCUGGCGACAGGAUGCUAAUCCCAAAAACCUCUCUCAGUUCGGAUCGAAGUCUGCAACCCGACUUCGUGAAGCUGGAUUCGCUAGUAAUCGCGCAUCAGCCAUGGCGCGGUGAAUACGUUCCCGGGCCUUGUACACACCGCCCGUCAAGCCAUGAAAGCCGGGGGUACCUGAAGUACGUAACCGCAAGGAGCUCCUAGG
rnacentral:rRNA from 1 species